rnacentral:lncRNA from 1 species
ACGCAUUAACAACUUCGCUAGCUUUUUCCCUCCCUCUUUCUCUCUCUCUUUCUCUCUCUUUCUGUAUGAAACCGCCAUUGACACGCCGCUACGACGACGACGACGAAGAGCAGAGUUAGCUCUCAUACAGCGCCGAUCAUCAUACGUCUGUUGUUGUUGUCGCCAUCAGGUUGUGGGCGAGUAUUAACAACAGCCAGAAGUUAUACCGAACGUUGAAUCGAUUGGGCCUAUAGUGGCCAAAGGAAGAUGAUAACUGACCGAGAAAAACAAGUCUGAGCUUGUGUCUGUGUAAUCUCGACAUAAUGCCUGGACGUAGGUUCGGACAGAAAAACACACCGACAGUCUGUCUGACAAAUGGCGUAGAGAGUGUAGGAGAAUAAGCAGCAGUGACCUGAGAAGUCCCACUGAACCUUCCUCGGCGUGAUAAAUGCCAACUCAGCCAACCUCAUCCCAUGUCCCGAAGUACAGAAAAUACUCGGUAUUUGCAGGAAGUUAUGAAUUGACGGAUUUUCUUAUCGAGAAUGUGCUGAUCGACUUUGCGAGAGUACUUCUUCCUUGGAUCAGUAAGAAAGAAUGGCAGUGUUGCGACUUAGGUCUCGUCGAUUAAGCACAAUCAAGCCACGAAGACGUACCCGUACCAUUUUGCGUAGACCCUCGACAAUAGGAUGGCAAGAGUCACCUCAUUACAGGCGCAAGAUCAACAACACCAACAAGAAAGUCAAAGCAGCAUUGCCCAGCUUACAUUCGCCAGAAUUUCUCGUUAACCCUUGAAGACGACUGCAUUCCCUAUCGCAAAUAUAAUCGCCACCAGCCAGUGUGGAUGUUUGCGCGAGACAGAACGUAAUACAACGUUUAUGAGUGUUGUAUGAUAACAGAGUAGUGCAUAUCGCUUGUAAGAUCAACGAUAAGGUUAAUUCGGAAAUCGACCUCGGAGCAAAACUGCAAGUAAUAUUAUUGCGAAAUAAGUGGAUCAAAAAUUUGCGAAUUUUUCGGCUCUUCCAUUAUCCAUACCAAAGCAUCCUGUUCCUUAGAGCGGUGCAGAAGAUUGUCUACAACAUUGCCAGGAAGCUAAAGUCUUUUUUGCGACGUAAGAAUCCUAAUAACUGAGAGGGGCAGGAGCCAGAGGAUGUUCACUUGAAGUCCACUAAUGACAACAAUAAGAGGAAAUUUAAAUAGCAAAUCCAGCCAGCUCAAUCGGACCCCUUAGUACCGAAUAUUCCAGCAGUUGCGUCAACUCCAAAAAUAUGAAUCGCCGUCGACCGAAGCCAACGUCAAAGAACCGCCGAUGGGAAAAGCAGCAUUAACCAAACGGUUGGACCACGGCUAACAAGUUCCACCCACUUUAACGAUCGAGGGCUUUGGGAAACACGCUUUAGCGGCACUGAGAACUACAGGGCUAGCUUCAGUACGCGAGACCUUGAAUCAGUGCAGCCGUUCACAAGAACGAUCACAGAGUUUGCAGUGAUGUUAGACCGUGAGAACCAAGAAUUGCAUGAUGGAACUGUGGGGUGGCCGCAUCUCUGGCGCUAUUCUCCCGUGACAGCCGUGGAUAGCAUAGAUAUCUUUGUGCUGACGGAGUUUUGAGCAGCUAGCUUGCUUAAGUUACGGCGUUUCGACUCUCUGCACUGCCUUGCAAUUGAGAGCAACAGACCUAGUGAGGGCAUCACCGUUUUCCACAACCAUAAGAUAAGCUACCUCACUCCACAAGAGUGACGUGUAGUCGAGUAGGCAGUCUUGUAGAGAAUAACGUCACUGCCUUACUUGGCCAGCGACUAAGUCCCGCAGCAGUUUAGCUGUAGCCGACUGAUUCGAAAUCAAGGUACGUAGUGGUGGACAAACUUGUCAAUAAACGUGAAGCGCAGUUUUCUUACUCUAGCUCUCCUCUGGUCAUUCUAACGACCGUCUAGUACUAUAACCAUCGAUUAGUCGAACUUGAGUGACACAACGACCUUUUAAGACAUACUCGCUUUGAUCCCACAUUGAUCCUAGUUUUUCCAGAAGAUGCAGGAAGUUCAGUUACCUUUGACGAACGUAGCCAGGUACAGGAUAAAGUUUUAGGGUGAAAAUCAUUCUCUCUUAGAGCACGCAAGUACUCGCACUUACAUACCGAUGGCGAAAGAUCUCUUGGUCCAAGCUACAUCAGCGCAGACUGUCAAACGCUAAGCAGCGCCUAUAUGUAAACAAGAGAGAAGUCGUCAAUAAAAUUGGGUGGUCACAGAUUUGGUACUGGCCUUAAACUUAACGAAGACAAAGAUGAUAAAGUUUAGAAAGGAAGGUGGGACAGUGAUUACUGGAUACCGUGUAUUUCGCUACGUCGCCUCUUGCCUAUAUAAACCCGUUUCAGUAGGUAGGGUUGCCCUUCUUCGCAGACGGCAGAAUUUUCAUUGUGCACGGCACCGAAAAAUACGGGAAGGCUGUGUUGCCCGCAUGGGGAA